GGUCGGUAAGUAAUACGUA
rnacentral:siRNA from 1 species